UACAGAGGGGGCAAGCGUUGUCCGGACUUACUGGGCGUAAAGGGCACGUAGGUGGCUCGACAAGUGGGGUGUGAAAUCUGGCGGCUUAACCGUCAGGCGCCAUCCCAAACUGUCGCGCUCGAGCUAUGCAGAGGUCCGUGGAAUUGCCGGUGUAGUGGUGAAAUGCGUAGAGAUCGGCAGGAACACCAAGGGGGAAGCCAACGGACUGGGCAUAUGCUGACACUGAGGUGCGACAGCGUGGGGAGCGAACCGG
rnacentral:rRNA from 1 species